UACGGAUGGUGCGAGCGUUGUUCGGAAUUACUGGGCGUAAAGGGCGCGUAGGCGGCCUAUUAAGUCAGAUGUGAAAUCCCACGGCUCAACCGUGGAAGUGCAUCUGAAACUGGUAGGCUUGAGUAUCGGAGAGGAAAGUGGAAUUCCCGGUGUAGAGGUGAAAUUCGUAGAGAUCGGGAGGAAUACCGGUGGCGAAGGCGACUUCCUGGGCCAAUACUGACGCUGAGGUGCGAAAGCGUGGGGAGCAAACAGG
rnacentral:rRNA from 1 species